UACGGAGGAUGCGAGCGUUAUCCGGAUUUAUUGGGUUUGAAGGGUGCGUAGGCGGUCCGUUAAGUCAGCGGUAAAAUUGCGGGGCUCAACCCCGUCGAGCCGUUGAAACUGGCAGACUUGAGUUGGCGAGAAGUACGCGGAAUGCGCGGUGUAGCGGUGAAAUGCAUAGAUAUCGCGCAGAACUCCGAUUGCGAAGGCAGCGUACCGGCGCCAGACUGACGCUGAGGCACGAAAGCGUGGGGAUCGAACAGG
rnacentral:rRNA from 1 species